UACGAAGGGGGCUAGCGUUGUUCGGAAUCACUGGGCGUAAAGGGCGCGUAGGCGGCUUUGUAAGUCGGGGGUGAAAGCCUGUGGCUCAACCACAGAAUUGCCUUCGAUACUGUAGAGCUUGAGACCGGAAGAGGUAAGUGGAACUGCGAGUGUAGAGGUGAAAUUCGUAGAUAUUCGCAAGAACACCAGUGGCGAAAGCGGCUUACUGGUCCGGUUCUGACGCUGAGGCGCGAAAGCGUGGGGAGCAAACAGG
rnacentral:rRNA from 1 species